ensembl:misc_RNA Metazoa_SRP Metazoan signal recognition particle RNA
GCUGGGUGCUGUGGUGUGUGCCUAUAGUCCCAGCUACUCAGGAGGCUGAAACGGGAGGAUCAUUUGAGCCCAGGAGUUCUGGUCUGUAGUGUGCUAUGCUGAUCGGAUGUCCGCACUAAGUUCAGCAUCAAUAUGGUGACCUCUUUGAGCAGGAGAUCACCAGGUUGCCUAAGGAAUGGUGAACCAGUACAGGUCGGAAACAGCAGGACAAAACUUUCGUGCUGAUCAGUAGUGGAAUCGUGCUUGUGAAUAGCCACUGCACCAUAGCCUGGGCAACACAGCAAGACCCCAUCUCUA